UCUCAGCAGCUCUGAGAUGCGUGGCGU
rnacentral:sRNA from 1 species